rnacentral:lncRNA from 1 species
UUCACACACACACACACACACUCACACUCUCACACACACACACACACUCUCUCUCUCUCUCUCUCUCUCUCUCACACACACACACAUCCUUUCCAUUGAAUUGUGCUGAUUUUCUGCUAAGCUUCAGAUGAUUUAGCAUGCGUGUUUUGCUCAUGAGGCCUGUCCUAUAUAUUUAUAGGAUUAUUCAGAGCUAUAAAUGUUGUGACUGACAGCUGUAUUUAAUAACAGGUGUGACAUAACUAGACUGACCAUAUUUAGCCCCAGGACUGAUGAGUGUGUGUGUGUGUGUUCUGCAGAGCUGCAGGAGCAGGUGGUGUAUUAUGACACCUGUGAGGACCCCGAGGAGCUGCAGGAUGUUCAGGUGGAUGUAAGUCCUGCCCACUCACACCUGCAGCAGCACCUGAAACAACUGGAGAGCAAAAGAGGAGCGAUUUCAUCACGCAGAGCUUACCUGAGGAACCAGCGGGAGCUGUGUGUUCAGGCUCAUGAGCAGCAGCAGCAUUCAGUCAUGCAAAGAUCGGAGCAGCUCCGCCAACACCACACCGCACAGCUGGUGAGUAACGUGCCGUAACAACGGCAACCUCAACCCACUGCAUCACCCCACAAAGCAUCCCAUAAUACCGUCGGAUCCGUGGGCUAUCUGUGGGCCGACUGAGUUGCCAUGACGACCGAGCCUUCAGUCCGGCAGGGGUCACGCUCACGUUCCCAGAAUUCCCUGCGCUGGAGUGACUGCAGAUCUGAGGCGCUGAUUAUGUUUGUGAUGUGAAUGUGGCACACGUGUGCUGUUAGUGAGCGUAUUCUCAGCCAACUCUGAGCAGUCACAAACACACGAGACGUCUGAGAUUCGUGAAAAAAUACUUCCAGCAGCAUGGUGUGGACGUACUGCUGUAUGUGUGUUUAAAGGGAUAGUUCACCCAAAAAUAAAAAUUCUGUCAUUAACUACUCACCCUCAUGUCGUUCAAAACCCGUAAGACUUUCGUUCUUAAGAUGUUAUUGAUGAAAUCCAAGCGCUAUCUGAGCCUGCAUAGACAGCAAGGGAACUACCACAGUCAAGGCACAGAAACGUAGUAAGGACAUCAGUAAAAUAGUCAUGUGACUUCAGGGAUUCAACCGUAAUCUUUUGAAGCUACGAGAAUACUUUUUGUUCGCAAC